CCUACGGGUGGCAGCAGUGGGGAAUAUUGCACAAUGGGGGAAACCCUGAUGCAGCGACGCCGCGUGGGUGAAGUAGUAUUUCGGUAUGUAAAGCUCUAUCAGCAGGGAAGAAGAUGACGGUAACUGAGUAAGAAGCCCCGGCUAACUAAGUGCCAGCAGCCGCGGUAAAACGUAGGGGGCAAGCGUUAUCCGGAUUUACUGGGUGUAAAGGGGGGGUAGACGGGGAGAGAAGUCUGAAGUGAAAGCCCGGGGCGCAACCCCGGGACUGCUUUGGAAACUGUAUGGCUGGAGUGCGGGAGGGGCAGGCGGAAUGCCUGGUGUAGCGGUGAAAUGCGUAGAUAUUAGGAGGAACACCGGUGGCGAAGGCGGCGUGCUGGACCGUGACUGACGUUGAGGCUCGAAAGCGUGGGGAGCGAACAGGAUUAGAUACCCUUGUAGUC
rnacentral:rRNA from 1 species